ACUCUGGUACUCGAUAUCCAGCUAUAGCCGUAGCUUCCCCUGCAGAGGACAUGGGCCUGACAAAUCCUUAUGCAUGGGUAGAGGCUACUAUCCAUACUGCGUCUUAUUCUGCUUUUCAUACUUUCCCCCUCCCCCUACCUCUUCUGACUGGUCCAUGUCCUCAUGUUGGGUCACCUGAAAUUCUUAGCAGCACAAGAGAUAUUCUCAGCAUGCUGUCACCUUCUCAGAUCUACCAUUGUGUCUUUCUCUCAUGCUUAGGAACAUGCUUCAAGAUGGGGACUUGGUCCUGGAAACAGAUGUGGAUGGCAGACCCUGCUAGGACAGUGUGCCAGAUGCACCUUUCACCAGUGACCUUAGUAGAAGCUGUUCUUGAUUCUUUCACGAGGCAGUAAGGAUCCAGUUAACCCUCCUUCAGAUCUGCCUGUGCCUCAGUGUGCUGCAAGAGUCAAAUGGGCCGAUUGCCUUGAGAACAAUCUCUAAGCCACCGCCGCCGAGAGUC
rnacentral:lncRNA from 1 species